UACGUAGGGGGCGAGCGUUGUCCCGGAAUCAUUGGGCGUAAAGCGCGUGUAGGCGGCUCGGUAAGUCUGCUGUGAAAGUCCAGGGCUCAACCCUGGGAUGCCGGUGGAUACUGUCGAGCUCGAGUCCGGAAGAGGCGAGUGGAAUUCCUGGUGUAGCGGUGAAAUGCGCAGAUAUCAGGAGGAACACCAAUGGCGAAGGCAGCUCGCUGGGACGUGACGACGCUGAGACGCGAAACGUGGGGAGCAAACAGG
rnacentral:rRNA from 1 species